rnacentral:rRNA from 1 species
GAUGAACGCUGGCGGCGUGCCUAAUACAUGCAAGUCGAGCGAACGGACGAGAAGCUUGCUUCUCUGAUGUUAGCGGCGGACGGGUGAGUAACACGUGGAUAACCUACCUAUAAGACUGGGAUAACUUCGGGAAACCGGAGCUAAUACCGGAUGAUAUUUUGAACCGCAUGGUUCAAAAGUGAAAGACGGUCUUGCUGUCACUUAUAGAUGGAUCCGCGCUGCAUUAGCUAGUUGGUAAGGUAACGGCUUACCAAGGCAACGAUGCAUAGCCGACCUGAGAGGGUGAUCGGCCACACUGGAACUGAGACACGGUCCAGACUCCUACGGGAGGCAGCAGUAGGGAAUCUUCCGCAAUGGGCGAAAGCCUGACGGAGCAACGCCGCGUGAGUGAUGAAGGUCUUCGGAUCGUAAAACUCUGUUAUUAGGGAAGAACAUAUGUGUAAGUAACUGUGCACAUCUUGACGGUACCUAAUCAGAAAGCCACGGCUAACCACGUGCCAGCAGCCGCGGUAAUACGUAGGUGGCAAGCGUUAUCCGGAAUUAUCGGGCGUAAAGCGCGCGUAGGCGGUUUUUUAAGUCUGAUGUGAAAGCCCACGGCUCAACCGUGGAGGGUCAUUGGAAACUGGAAAACUUGAGUGCAGAAGAGGAAAGUGGAAUUCCAUGUGUAGCGGUGAAAUGCGCAGAGAUAUGGAGGAACACCAGUGGCGAAGGCGACUUUCUGGUCUGUAACUGACGCUGAUGUGCGAAAGCGUGGGGAUCAAACAGGAUUAGAUACCCUGGUAGUCCACGCCGUAAACGAUGAGUGCUAAGUGUUAGGGGGUUUCCGCCCCUUAGUGCUGCAGCUAACGCAUUAAGCACUCCGCCUGGGGAGUACGACCGCAAGGUUGAAACUCAAAGGAAUUGACGGGGACCCGCACAAGCGGUGGAGCAUGUGGUUUAAUUCGAAGCAACGCGAAGAACCUUACCAAAUCUUGACAUCCUUUGACAACUCUAGAGAUAGAGCCUUCCCCUUCGGGGGACAAAGUGACAGGUGGUGCAUGGUUGUCGUCAGCUCGUGUCGUGAGAUGUUGGGUUAAGUCCCGCAACGAGCGCAACCCUUAAGCUUAGUUGCCAUCAUUAAGUUGGGCACUCUAAGUUGACUGCCGGUGACAAACCGGAGGAAGGUGGGGAUGACGUCAAAUCAUCAUGCCCCUUAUGAUUUGGGCUACACACGUGCUACAAUGGACAAUACAAAGGGCAGCGAAACCGCGAGGUCAAGCAAAUCCCAUAAAGUUGUUCUCAGUUCGGAUUGUAGUCUGCAACUCGACUACAUGAAGCUGGAAUCGCUAGUAAUCGUAGAUCAGCAUGCUACGGUGAAUACGUUCCCGGGUCU